CAUCAGCUGCUGGUUGAAUACUAUGAAACUUCCUGACUGGUUCCUGACUGGUUCCUGACUUUUCCAGGAUAAAGAUACACUGAUUUUUUUACUGACUUCCCACCAGUAAGCAAUCUGUCCAUCUUUUGACUCAUGUAAAAAGCAAGGUAGAAUGGAACAAAAAACAAUUUUCAGAAGAUGAAACUUCAUGAACUUAGACCAAAGACUUUGUGCUUCAGCCGACGUGAAAGAUGGCUCUAUCAGGAGGCCUUCCAUAUCUAUGUGAAAGAGAAGAACGGCAGGUUAGGCUCCAAAGAAGCAGGAAGCAUGGCUCUGCUUGCCUUGCUUUGAAAUGGCGACGCUCAUGACCUGGUAUCAAACGUGGGAGCUCAUGAAACCUCCUCUUGCACCGUUCACCAGGGUGUCAGCAGCUGCAAGGGAAUGGAAGACAGCACAGAAACUGCACCUGGGCCUUGCUUGGCUGCACCACCCUUAAUUAGCGUCAGUUGUGAAAGCACCAAUCAGGCCUAAUAAGGAAAGAAGCUGGUGGGGCAGAAAAUGUAAAACCACUUCACCUGGUGGCUUCUCUGGGCCUCGCACCUGUGCUCCGUUGCAAGGAAGCUUUUAAGACUGAAGCAGAAAAGGCUGCAUCUGUCCAGGAGCAGAAAAUCGGAUCGUACCGGAUGGAAGAGGGAGCACAAAGGCUUUGUGAGGAGUCAUGACAGUGGGAGGUGCCCUGAGUCGGUGAGUUUCCUCAGCAGCCUCCACCAGGCAUUAGAACUGCCGUGCAGUGACAGACAUCUGAGAGGAACGUGGAGUCCCAGAGAGGCCACCUGUGAAUCCUGGCAGCAUUACAUGACGAUGAGAAACAUAAAAAAAUGCAGAGAUGCUGGAGGUCUGUUUCCCUAAUCAAACAGAUGCAAAUGAGGGUCACACAUCACCAGCAUCAGAGAACUGCUGGUCCUGGUGCCCUCUGAAGGGCUGCAGCAACCACAGCUCUGCAGCCCCCGAGGCGUCCUCUCCCAGCACGACAACGCAGGGGCUUGCUGGGCUGCCAGGGCUGUGCUGGCUGAAGCCAUGGAUCUGCAGCUACAACUGACAGCAGGGAUCACCUUACCCAGCUGAGACAGAAGAGUUCCCUACAGGA